GCAUACGUGGUGGAACGGCAGACACGCUAUCUUGAGGGGGUAGUGAGCUAACGCUCGUGCGGGUUCAAAUCCCGCCGUAUGCACCA
rnacentral:tRNA from 1 species